CCAUUACUCCUGAAGUGCCUUGUGACCACUGUGGUAUAUACCACUCAGCAGUAGGAGGCCAAUGUAGGCUUUCAUCUCUGUUUCAUCCAGCUUUUUCCACUCCUUUCUAUUUUCA